rnacentral:rRNA from 1 species
GAUGAACGCUGGCGGCGUGCCUAAUACAUGCAAGUCGAGCGAACAGACGAGGAGCUUGCUCCUCUGACGUUAGCGGCGGACGGGUGAGUAACACGUGGAUAACCUACCUAUAAGACUGGGAUAACUUCGGGAAACCGGAGCUAAUACCGGAUAAUAUAUUGAACCGUAUGGUUCAAUAGUGAAAGACGGUUUUGCUGUCACUUAUAGAUGGAUCCGCGCCGCAUUAGCUAGUUGGUAAGGUAACGGCUUACCAAGGCAACGAGGCGUAGCCGACCUGAGAGGGUGAUCGGCCACACUGGAACUGGGACACGGUCCAGACUCCUACGGGAGGCAGCAGUAGGGAAUCUUCCGCAAUGGGCGAAAGCCUGACGGAGCAACGCCGCGUGAGUGAUGAAGGUCUUCGGAUCGUAAAACUCUGUUAUUAGGGAAGAACAAAUGUGUAAGUAACUAUGCACGUCUUGACGGUACCUAAUCAGAAAGCCACGGCUAACUACGUG